CUCUGUCUCUCACCUGUCUCUCUCCUGUCUGUCUGUUUCUCACCUGUCUGUCUGCCUGUCUGUCUGUACAGAAGCGAGCAGUGAAGGCAGAGCUGUGCGUCUCCAAACUGAAGUGGGAGCUGCAGCAGCUUCAGGUGGAGAACGAAGGUCUGAAGGCGGCGGAGUCGGAGGUCGUCAUGACGAUGAGACAGAACGCUCAGGUGGCGUCUGAUUACCUGAACAAGACGGCAAGCCACGCCCACUCCUCCAUACGGCAGCUGCUGGGGGGGGCGGAGACCCUCUCUCUGGUCGCUCAGCUGCUGGCCUCCAUCGAUAGAGUUUCCUCAGAGGACUCUCCUGGAUGAAUUACCAAAAUAAAAGACUUCCUACAGACGCUUUACUUUGAAGGUGAAGAUGACAUCACAGCAGCGAGGACUGCCGGAUGCUGAUUGGUCCGUUUGUUGGACUGAAGACACAGUUUUUAUAUUUAGCGUCAUGAUGGAUAACAUAUCACUGCUGCUUGAUGAAUCAGCAGGUCGUCUUCCUCCAGGGUCACGUGUGAGCUUAGCUUAGCAUUAGACAGCUUAUAUGCUGUAUCUUUCUAGAACCCCCUCCUCUCCUGUAGUUCUAUAGCUGUUAGUGCGUGUACAGGGUCUGCAAAGGCUAGAAUCCCUGUGUUCCCUCCAUUGGACUGAACUUUGUGACAUCACUGCGUAACACUCACGCUCCUAUUGGCUGUGUACAUGUACAGGGUUAUAUAUAUUUGACUAACGUAUGAAGCAGAGUUAGCGUAAAGCUUUAAACAUGUAAAUACGUGUACAGUAAUUAAAUACUAACAUGUUUUAUACCAUGUGUUAUGUUUUUGGUGACGUUGAAAUACUUCACAAUGGAUGAUUGUGCACAGCUGGGAGGGACUCUGGUUCUUUAAGACAUGCUUUGAUGUCCCUGAUGUCCCUGAUGUCCCUGAUGUCCCUGAUGUCCCUGAUGUCCUGUCGAGACAAUAAAAGACCAUCAGAAU